AACACCUGUAGUUUGUCUUUUCUCCUCUUCCUCUCUACUUAAGGAAGAAUCUACAAUGAUCUGGGGUCAGCUGCUUGAAAUUUGGAUGUGAGUCAGGCCUGGGGUUACUACAAGUUUGUAUGUAAUCUUGGUCACCAAGGAAGCUGAGCAAGAGGACCACAAGUUCAAGACCAGCCUAGGCCUAGGAGAAGCCGGGCCUGCUCCCUAUAACCCCAAAGCUUAGCCCAGAGCCGGCUGGGAGUAGAAACUUAACAGCAUCUCCAGGAAACGCCAAGGAAAUGCUCAGGAGCACUGAGUUGAACGUGCAAGACUUCGUGGCACUAGAGCAAUAGAAACCCUAACACAGGAGGCGUGUCAUACAAACUUCCACAGCCUGAACAGA